UCCUCCUUUGAGGGUAUUGGCUUUCAGGCUUAAAAGGGAAUUUGGUGUGAAUCCAAAACUGACGCGCAGCGGUAUUUGAGAACGAACGUCUAAGGCUAUUGCCACACACUGCAAAAGUGGGAAGUGGGACGCUAGGUUGUAGGUGCAAAACCUACAGUGCUCAUAAGUCCGAAUACCUGCCAGUAAGUACAAAACGCAU
rnacentral:ncRNA from 13 species